ensembl:snoRNA
AGCACUUGUGUAUGUCUUUAAUUUGUAAUAAAGCCUUACAGACAUGUACAAACAGUAAAUGCUCUUUUGCAACCCAGAACUUAUUAUUGAGUAAGAGUUUUUGAUACAUAUAAGCAGUAAUAUG